rnacentral:lncRNA from 1 species
CUGGAACUACCUUCCGGCACCCAUCCCCACCAUUCCCCCCUCCCCCAAAACAAAAUCUCCUUUGAUAGUCUUUCUCUACCUUGAGCUACCCUGAAUAACUAAUCCAAAUGCAUCAGAUUGAGUAGAAUGACCAUACAAUAUUGCUAUUAUCUCCUUUCUAUUAGGAUCUUAGAGAACUGAACAUUAUCAUAUGGCUUCCUCUCAAUGAGCUCUCUUUUUCCUUCGAAUGCUCACUUCCUUUGCAUUACUCCCCCCACCUCUGCCACCCACGCCCCAAAAAAAAAAAAAAAAAUCAACAAAUGUCAUCACAAUCCCCACCAUCAUCACUGCUCAAUAGUGAUAUUGCCAGAGUUACUAUUAAUAAUGGUGGGGUGAAUGGUGAUCGAUCUUCAACCCUCUACCUAGGAGUGGGUGUUGAUCAAAGGUUUUUACAUAUGUGUCUAGUAGCAAGAAUUUCAUGGACUCCUAAACCUCAGGGAUUUUGUUAAAAUGGCCAUAGAAUGCAGUACCUCCCUUUCAAAAGAGCUCCAAGAGAAAAUAGACUAGCCCUCUAAUACGACUACAAAAUAGGCUUUAUGAAUGCCACCAAUUUAGGAAGCCAUUAACUCUUUACUCUUGGAUUAUGGAAAAAUGGGCUUUUGGAUCUUUGAGAUGUGAUUGUAGUGGUUCACUAUUUCUAGAGGACAAAUUUGCCACUUUAGUUUUUAUUGUUCAAUUUUGUAGAUUUAGAGUUCAGGGGAUUUCUAGCCAACAUGAUACAUAUAUAGAAAUCAGUGAUUCCACACCUAGGGGAUUGCUAGCCACAUGACACAUAUAUAGAAAUCAGUGAUUCCACACCCACUUCUAGGGAGAGGUUUUGAAGCUUGGUAACCACCCAUCCCACCAUUCUGCUCUUUUCAUCUUGGUUUUUCAUUCUAUUUUCAUUCAUAUUACUAUUAUUGUUCAAGAAAAACACGUUCUCCUAUGUUUUUGGUAUUCGAGAUUAUAAUGAUCAGGUCAAUCUUAUUCACUUUUUACAGAAGUGGUAUCAUUAAUUAUAUUAGGUAAGUAUAUUCUAUACUGUUAAUUACAUGACCUCAUGUCUUAUCCAAACUUCUGGUAUGAGUUUUUUGCUUUUUAAAAUUAAUAUAAGGUUCAUGGACAUUCUAUUUCAAAUCCCUCUUACUGAACUAUUUGAGGUGGCAUUUACAAGCAUGACCGAUCUUGCAUGGGUGUUGAAUAUGUGAUUGAUUGCAUAUCUUAUUUUUAAAACAUGUACAAGUAUUGUAUUCCUAACUUAGGAACUAUAAAUGUUGUCGCGGAAUUUGUAUUGUUGCAGUGAUAGGUUUACUGAAGAAAAAUAAUAGUGUCAAGGGAUAAUUCAGCCUAAAACCCGGUUAGAUAGAAUCAUGUUUGUCAUAGUGUUAUUACUAAUUCAUAUCCAUCCUGUCUGAUGCUAGAGGCCUCUGUUAUUUUAUACCAGUGGGAAAUACUUUGAACAUAUGUAGAUGGCUCUCGGUAUUUUCUUUUUCUUGUAAAUUAGAACAAGCAUGCUUGGCUACAUGUUGAAGCAUCUAAAUCUGGAAAGCCAAGCCCUUUUAUAGUUCCCGCAAAUUGUUUAUUGGUUGCACAUCUUUCUUGUACUCUUAUUAGCCUAUUGUCAUUUGAAUUUUUCUUCUUAGAGUUACUAACUAUUAAUUUGUUAAGUUUUGAGUGAAAAAGACAUAAUGCUUUUGAUGAUUGACUAUUUGCUUUCAAACUCAUCAGUAUGAAUAUGCAUAUUUAUUGUUGAGUAUGAGCUUAACUUCGGAGUCUAAUGGGAUUAACACAACUUGGUUUUGGUUCUCAUUGCAUGCAAGGUUUAAAUGUGCAUGCAUUGCUAGCAGAUGUUGUAUUUCUUUAGUUGGCAAGGUUUGAUUGUUUCUAACCUAUGCCACGAUUUCAUAUUAAACCAUUUUAAUGUUAACUAGUCUUAAAAGUGAACUUCAAGGUAGUAUGAACAGAAAAACACUUGCCUUUCUAUUUCAAGGAUGCCAUAUGGAAAAGACCUGAAUAUUCUUCUAUCUUAAUAGAAUAGAACUUUUUCUUUUUUUAAUUUUCUUUAUUUCUUCUGCAUUCUUUAUUUUCAUCACCACCACCAUCACCAUCAACAUUAUUAUUAUUCGAUGGGCCAGCAUGGAUUGUUGUAACCUAGGAGGAGAAACACAUAUAUAUAAGGGCUAGGAGCUGCUAGCGGUCUCAGCUAUCUCACUUUGCAUUCAAUAAUAAAUAUUGCACAAAACUCAUCUUCAAAAUUAACAUAUGUUGCUAAUGGAGACUUUUUAUGCUAGUUGUUCUAACAAUGAGUUUCUUGUCUAUGCCAUUCAAAGAUGCAAUUUUUUUAACACAAAUUUGAUUCUAUUCGGAGCAGGUAAAAUGCCUCACUCAUCCAUCUUUAUUAAAAUUAUAUGUCUAAACCAAAUUUUUUGUUAUUACUAAGGCCCUUUACUUUGAUUAACAGCAUGGCUCAUGCUUCGCCCCAAAAUAAGGAGAAUCGAUUACUUUUUCAGAAGAAACAAUGAUGAAACCAGUAUCGAAUAAUUGCAGAAGCCAUAGCCAGUGACAAUCGUUUGAUGUAUGAACCCAUUGUCAAGAAUUGUCAAAUUCUUUGCUCACUAUGUGGAUCCAACAUUGUGACUAAAAAUGAUUUAGAUGAUGCUACAACUGAAUUGUCUUACGUUCAACAUGAUAUUAGAUAUGAUAAUUUUAGCCUGGAUGAAUUUUUUCUAAUAGAUCAAAAUGUUUGGGGUGUAUUAAUAUUUUACAUGAGUUAAUGAGCUUUAGUGUGAGGGAAAGUGUGCCAGAUGAUUGUGAAGAUUCUAAAUACUUAAGGUAUGGAUGGUGGGGAAAUACAAGAUGACAAUUUUAUGUAGUUCAUGUUGUAAGUUAUUCAAGUCCUUUAGAUUUAAACAUAUGUUUACUUGAUGUGAAUCGCCAUUAUGGGAGCAUUACUAAUCUUAGUUCAUAUAAUUGUAUCCAACCAAGUUUAUUAAUGGAAGAA